rnacentral:rRNA from 1 species
GAUGAACGCUAGCGGCAGGCCUAACACAUGCAAGUCGAGGGGCAGCACAGAAACAGCAAUGUUUUGGUGGCGACCGGCGGACGGGUGCGUAACGCGUAUGCAACAUACCUUUAACCGGGGGAUAACGGAGAGAAAUUUCCACUAAUACCCCAUAACAUCGAUCAAGGCAUCUUGAUUGGUUGAAAACUCUGGUGGUUAAAGAUGGGCAUGCGUUGUAUUAGUUAGUUGGUGAGGUAAUGGCUCACCAAGCCUACGAUACAUAGGGGGACUGAGAGGUUAGCCCCCCACACGGGUAGUGAGACACGGACCAUGCUCCUACGGGAGGCAGCAGUGACGAAUAUUGGUCAAUGGGGGCAACCCUGAACCAGCCAUGCCGCGUGCAAGAAGACGGCUCUAUGAGUUGUAAACUGCUUUUAGACAGGGAUAAAGCACAGUAUGUAUACUGUGUUGAAGGUACUGUAAGAAUAAGGAUCGGCUAACUCCGUGCCAGCCGCCGCAGUAA